CCUACGGGAGGCAGCAGUGAGGAAUAUUGGUCAAUGGCCGGAAGGCUGAACCAGCCAAGCCGCGUGAAGGACGAAGGUGCCAAGCAUUGUAAACUUCUUUUGUCAAGGGACAAAAUCAGGCUCGAGAGCCUGACCGAGUGUACUUUAAGAAAAAGCAUCGGCUACCUCCGUUCCAUCAGCCGCGGUACUACGGAGGAUGCGAGCGUUGUCCGGAUUUGUUGGCUUUAACGUGUGCGUAGGCGGACUGUUAAGUCAGCGGUAAAAGCCCGGGGCUCAACCCCGGCGAGCCGUUGAAACUGGCUGUCUUGAGAUGUCGAGAGGUAUGCGGAAUGCGAAGUGUAGCGGUGAAAUGCUUAGAUAUUGCGCAGAACUCCGAUUGCGAAGGCAGCAUACCGGCGGCGAUCUGACGCUGAGGCACGAAAGCGUGGGUAUCGAACAGGAUUAGAUACCCGGGUAGUC
rnacentral:rRNA from 1 species